GGUCCCUUGGCCCAGUUGGUUAAGGCGUGGUGCUAAUAAUACGCCAAGAUCAGCAGUUCGAUCCUGCUAGGGACCA
rnacentral:tRNA from 1 species